ACCUUCGUGGUGUAGUGGUCAGCACGCUCGACGCGUAACCGAGAGGUCCGUGGUUCGAUUCCCGGCGAAGGCG
rfam:Stegodyphus mimosarum contig114635, whole genome shotgun sequence.